UACCAGCACCCCGAGUGGUCGGGACGUUUUAUUGGGCCUAAAGCAUCCGUAGCCGGUUCUACAAGUCCUCCGUUAAAUCCAGCUGCUUAACAGAUGGGCUGCGGAGGAUACUAUAAGACUAGGAGGCAGGAGAGGCAAGCGGUACUCAGUGGGUAGGGGUAAAAUCCGUUGAUCCAUUGAAGACCACCAGUGGCGAAGGCGGCUUGCCAGAAUGCGCUCGACGGUGAGGGAUGAAAGCUGGGGGGAGCAAACCGG
rnacentral:rRNA from 1 species